GUGCCUAGUUUAUUUUUGAAAGCUUUUCAGUGAAUUACAGCUUAAAUUUUGGCCUUCGUAUGAAUUUAGAAGAGUUGGAAUAUAGUGCACAAGUUGUAUGGACCACUUUUUUUUUAACCGUUCUGGAAAAAACAUCUGUGGGUUUCACAUAAAAAAGACUGUAACGUCAUGAGGGGUGAGUAAAUAAUGACAGUGUUGAACUGUUCCUUUAAGGCUAAUAAAAUGAGCUACCUAAGAUAUGUAGGUCCAUGAAUUAUUUUACUGUAAAUUCGGAUGCGUCUCAAUUGUAAAUGUGUAGAUAAACUGAUGUCUCUGUUAUUAAGAAGUGUUGUGUGCUGUAGGUUCAGGGUUCUGUGUGUGUGUGUGUGUGUGUGUGGAGCAGACAGGCCCAUGAAUGUCUGUAUUAUUUGCUGACCACUUUUUUUUUUAAAGAAACGCAGCUGAUCGGCCUGCGGUUAGACGCUUGUAGUUCACGCGGCGGAGCGGUGCUGACAAAGUUCAGUGCCGAAAACAAGUGAGUUUGAAACCAAAAGGUGCUUCUGUAGUUGGAAAUUCAAACAUCCAAAUGUUUUCCCCUCAAAUGCAUCCAUCCCCCCGUCUCCCGUGAGCUCAUUUUGCUUUGGAGAAUGGGAGAGAUGUCACCAGAGGAACAAAAACUUUAAUGUAAAACCGUGUUCCUCUCUAAAUGGAUUUUUUGUAAGGGAAAAAAGUUGUGCAAUAGAUACACAAAAUAUGAUGGCAUUAUUUGUUGAUAAUUCUGGUAUUUUUAAAGGGUUUUAGAAAUAAUACAUCUUUAUCAUUGUCCUCUUUCCCAUUGUUCAGUGAUUUCAGAAGGAAGUUGCUCUUUUGUGUUGAUUUGAACCAUUAUCUCAAACCACAGAGGUUUAACUAGUGGUCUUGGAUCACCAACGACAGGCAACUUUACCAGCUUACUGCUAACUUGAGGAAUGCCGUCUCAUUGUUGUGCGAUGUUCCACAGGUGGAAACCUGCUUUCCUCACUUUUUGGGCCAUACCCUGUGCAAUUUCAAAAAUAUUACAAUGCAAUUCUUACCUAUAACCUUAACAAUACAUGUAUGGUAUAAACAUAGAUGUAGAUGUUGUUGCAUAUGAAGGACUUUAGGAGGAGAGGGACAAUGUUGAACUCAUAAUGUUAUUUUUAUUUUUUAUUAACUUGCAGUGGAUGCCAAUGAGCUGGUCACAAAAUGCAACCCUGCAAGAACAGUUCAGCAGCUCAAAUGAUGUUAAUAAAACCAAACUUAUCUGUUCCUCCAAUGCAUGCUUUCUUAUUUAAAUCCAAUGGCACUUUCACUAAUUUAUAAUGGAAAUGCGGUUUCUGUUGUAAAUUUCUGAGGGGGUUUUUAGCUUUUGUUGCUGUUUUAAAAAGGAGACAUUUACCAAUCGGAUCUGAACUUAAUUGUAAACAUGUUCACAUAGUUUGUUGAUUCAGUUGAAAUCUCUCUAAUUUUGCCAGUGUGUGUUUUAAUGUAUUCAUACUGUAUCAUAUUUGCUUCCGUUUUGUUUUCAUUUGUUCAUGGAACACAGGAUUUUUAUCACUCUGAACUUUUGCAAACUACAAUGUUUAUGUUGUGCAGUGGUUAAGAGAAACAUGUCUGUAAUGUCCUCACCAAAAUAUGUUGGUGCUUUAAAUCAGCCAAGAAAAGUGUGCAAAGCAAAUUAAAAAUGAUGCUCUGGAUCUGAUAA